rnacentral:lncRNA from 1 species
UGCCUGUAGUCCCAGCAGCUUGGGAGGCUGAGGCAGGAAGAUUGAGAGUUCAAAGCCAGCCUCAGCAACAUAAUGAGGCACUUACCAACUCAGCCAAGAUCCUGUCUCUAAAUAAAAUGUUAAAAAGGGUGGGGGAUGUGGUUCAGUGGUGAAGUACCCCUGUACCCAAAAUAACUUUUUUAAAUAAAAAGGGAUAGGGGUAGAGCACCCCGGGUUCAAUCCUCAGUAUUGUGGAGGUGGAAUGAAAGAAAGAAAUAAAAGAAAAAUGUCAGAGAAGGGCAGUGCUUUAGAAGCACCAGGUGGAAUAUGGGCCCUGUGGAGCCCUCUGGGAAAUUGGCUUGGUAUGUGAGGUAUGUAUGGAGUGUAUUUGGUACAUAUGGGGUAUGUAUGGGAUGUGUAUAACAUAUAUGGUGUGUAUGGGGUAUGCAUGAUGUGUACAGAAUGUAUACAGGGAAUGUAUGGGGUGUACAUGUGUAUGUGAGGUGUAUGAGGGCCAGAUAGUGUAGGGGGGAUAUAUAUGGGGUAAGAAAUGUUAUGAGGUAUGUGUGCUGUGUGUGGAAUACAUAUUGUGUAUGGGGUAUAUAUGUUGUAGAUGGGGUAUAUAGGGUGCAGGUAAUGAGUAUAGGGUAUGUGUGAAUGUAUAAUGUAUAGAUGUGUGGGGGAUAUAUAGGAAAGCAUAUAUGAUGUGUGGGUGGUGUUUGGGGUAUAUGAGGUGUAGGGGUUGUAUGGGAAUGUAUAUGGGGUAUAAGGAUAUAUAUGAAGUGUAUUUGCUGUAUGUAUAUUGGGUGUGCAUAGGGUAGGGUGUGUGUAUGGGGUAUGUUUUACUGUAUAUGGGGUAUAUAUGGGUAUGUGUGUGUGCAUUGGUGUACAUGGGUGUGUAGGGUUUGUAUAAUGUGUGGGGUAUAUGGGGCUCAUGGGGACACACAGGCAGCCAGUCCUGAGAGGUCUAUGGUGAUGGGGGUAAGGAGUGUGGAGGGCCCAGAAUGCUAGGCUGAGAAAGCUUGGACUUCACUGGAAAGGGAAUAGGAAGCCAUGGAAGGCCUCAAGCAGGGUAGUGACAAUGUCACCUUGCUUCAGUCAGUCUGUGUGACUCAGGGAUACAUUGACAGAUUUGUAUGUUGUAUGGAAGGUGGAGUAUAGAAGAAAGGGGAUACAGAGAAGCCAGCAAGAAGGCUACAGUCAUCGUCUAGUCCACAGGUGCUGAGGAUGGCAGGCAUGAGGAGGAGGAGGCACUCAUGAGAAAUAGGAGGACAACUGGAACAGCAACAGUUGCUUAGCAUAGUGCCCCACACACAAUGUUGCUCAAGACCUGUGGCUAUUGUUUCUAGCUAGCCUGUGGAGGGCGAGGGAGCCAGUGACCUCAGGUGACUAAGGUUUGAGGUUAAGAUGAUAAAAAGACCAAGGGAAUGGACUGAGGAUGUGGUCCAUGGGCGGCUCCCCUGGGCAGGCUCUCUGCAGAUUGUUCUGAGGUGUAAUCUUCUCCCAAAGCCUUUCUAGGCAUUCUGGGCCAGGUGUCAGGACACCCGAAUCUAAUUCCACUUCUAGAAGCUAUGAGCUAUGCAGCUCAUUGCAUAGAUUUGGGCAAACCAUGUCCCCUGGGCUUUGGUUUAUUGGGAAUAUCAAUGAUCACUGUACUGCAAAAAUGUGUAUUUAAAAUGCUCAAAGCAAGCCAGGCAUGGUGACACACUUCUGUGAUCCCAGCUACUCAGGAGACCGAGGCGGGAGGAUCUCAGUUUGAGGCCCUCUCUCAAAAUAAAAAAUGAAAAGGGCUAGGGGAAGUAGCUCAGUGGCAAAACACCCCUGAGUUCAAUUUCUAGUACCACAAAAAGUAAAAAAAAAAAAAAAUGUUCAGUGCAAUGGGGAAAGGGAGAGGCAGUGGGGCUGACAGGAUGGAGGGGCUCUUAGUCUGACUCAACAGGCCCACGUGGAGAGCAGACCUGUGGGUAGUGUGGUGACAGACACUGGUUUAACUGUGCUCUCCUGCCUGACAGCAUGUGAGGGGGCUUGUGGUGGAGCGUGGGUGAAGCUGUGACAGACCCUCACCUGUGGUUACAGUUCUAUACCCUCAGCAUCCACAUGCUGGGCCUCCACACAGCCCUGGAUUACAGAGGCAGAUACUGAAGUGAGGUGACAACUCAAGGUCCUUCAGUGACUCUAUGCAGAGCAAGAAUUUGAACUCAGGACUGAACUACCUCUAGGGCCUGUGCUAUUUUCUCUGAGUCUCAGUGGAAAGAGUGAGGGAAAGGGUUGCGUGACAUAGGGGCAGCCCAAGCAAAAAGUCAGGGGCCCUAUGGUGGAGCAGGGUGAGUGGCUCUGGGCAGACAUAGGCACCAGAUGGUUACCAGGGAAAGUUCAGCAAAUAUGGUGACUCCACCAUCACACACACACACAUGCAGAGGUUCUCAUGCCAUUCUCCUCCACAGUGUUCUUACCAACCUAGUCACCAUCUCUAAGGUAGGGCUCUAUCCUAGCAGUGAGUGGCAGAGCAACAGGAACCUGAGCCCAGCAGGGGCAGUGCCCAGCUCCUCCAGGCACUUUUGUGAUCUGCUCACUUUGUUUACCAACUCCCCAAUGUUUCCAGCUUUGGAAUCAGGCAACCCUGGGCCCCAGAUACAAAUAUUUAAUUUACUGAUGCUCAACCUCUUUGAGCCUCAGCAUGUAGCAUGGUGAGGUGCCUGGGAGAUAGCAGGUACUCUGGGAGGAUGGCUGUGAUUGUCUCUCUGCUCAUUUCUUCCCUAUUCCCACCCCUUCAAGACCUCUCCCUUGAGCACAGCAAAAAUGAGGGUGUGGUUGAUGUGGAACAUGAGUAUCUGGACCAUUUUGACAUUUUCAGGACAGCUGUUCUGGGUCUGGCCCUGUGCUCAGCUGGGCUCUACAGUUGGGGAUUGUGGUGGAUGAUUCAGGUUUAUGGGAGACAGAUUUAAUCACAGUCACUCUGAUCAAGACAGGAGAGCCAGAAACACCACAGGUCGCUGACUGGGCUCAGGGACCAGUGAGCUCCUCUGCUAGGGUCACCAUUGGCUCCUUACUCCUGGCUGGCUGAGUAGGGUCUCAAAGGCUAGGCUGUCAGAGGGGUGAGACUGAUGAGGAAGGCAUGUGGAUGAAGGGAACAGCUUGGGCAGAGGAGGUAGGAAGUGUGCAGGUAGCAGGUCCAGAGCAUGCCAGGCUGAGAAUACACUAGGCGGGGUGCCUCAGAUGCCCAAGUGACACACUGGACUAUUCUCAAUUCGGGUCUCAGUUGUAGACAGUAAAGGAACAGGGGAGGCCCUGCACUCACACUUGUAGCAAGCUGGGAAUUCCCAUAUAUAACACAGUGCUCCACCUGAAAGAGGCCAAGGAGACUGUCCCAACCCCUACCAGACAUCUUCCCUCUAAGCUCUGGAGGACAGUGCCACCCUCUUCCUGACCUGGGAGUUCUUGGCCUGGAACCCUGAGGGUCUACAAGUAGGUUUCAGGGGUCCACUCAUCCAGGCCAACCAAGUGUAGACCACUGAGCCAGGCCCUGGGAGAGCACGGUGAGCCAGGCAGUUGCACAUCUUUGCCCUUGUGGAAGUCAUUGUCUGGGGAGGAGACACUCAAAAUAAUAAGUAAACAAGAGAAGAGCAAAGUCAAUCCAGAUUAUGGUAAAUGGUCAGUGCUUGUGGGGAAUAGAGUGGCCCACUGGAGUUUGAAAGCAAGAAAGCCCUGUGCCAGGAGGUGAGCAAUGAGAAUGAGAAGGAAGCCACCUGGGGAAGCAGUCUGAGGGAAGAGCACUUCCAGCUAAGGGAAGAUAUUUUACUGGGCAAGGGAAGAAUGACUUCCCUUCAGCCUUCUGGGUUCUUUGGGCUACCAAUUGAACUGACAUAGGGCAGCUUAACAAGAGAAAACAGAUAAAAAGGAUCAGAAGCAGUGUCAGGUGAGUAGCAUCCUGAGCUACAGAAAGAAAUAGGGGCUUAGGAAUUUUGGGGGUGGAGACAUGCUUUGUGGGAGGGUCCGGGAGGAACUGAGUAGUGAAUAAAGUUCGUCUUGGUAUACAGAUAAUAUCUCUCAGGUAAUGAAAGUAAUCUCUUCCUGUAGAUUACUAGUGUGUGUGUGUGUGUGUGUGUGUGUGUGUUUGUGUGUGUGUGAGAAAGAGAGACAGACAGACACUGGGGAUUGAACCCAGAGGUAUUUUACCACUGAGCUAUAUCCCCAGCCCUUUUAUUAUUUUUUGAGAUAGGGCUUACUGCAUUGCUGAGAGUCUUGCUAAGUUACUGAGGCCUUGAACUUGAGGUCCUCCUGCUUCAGCCUCCUGGUUUUUGGGAUUUCAGGUGUGUGCCACCACACCCAGUUAGGUUUCCUUUAUGAAUAAAAUUUCUCUUACAACAGGACAGCUUUUCGGAAUUACUCCUCAAUUUUUUUCAGAAUAACCAGCUCAAACUAUGCCAAAGAAAUAAAUUUAGGGGUGACACUUUCUUGUCUCCUCCAGUUAUAUCUUGGGGGGGUAUGUCUUGAGCCCUUUGGUCUACAUAAGGGGAUGGGAAGGGCUCUGAUGCUUGCCUCAGAUUCUCGAAGGUAUCCCUGACCCCCAAAUAGGUAUGUUAUGUUCUACUUUGGGGCAAUGGCAGGGAGAGCAUGAAUCGCAGCUCUGGGAAAUGAGAUUUGGGGUCUGUUCAGUGUUCUUACUAAGAAGAAAUCCAGGGAAAUAUUUUCUGGCUUGAAUAACAGGACUAGUUGUGCUUCACCAGAACAAUUUCUUUCUCCAAUUUUGUGGACACUGUGAAUGAUGCUGACUGAUCGUUUUCAUCUUUAUGUUGGCUUCAAGAAAGCUUAUUUCAUUCAUGUAUGAAUUUAUCCAAUGAAUAAUUUUAUUAAGCUUCUCUUGAGUGCUAGUGCUGUGUUUACAGCAAAAAGUGGGGUCAUCACAGAAAGUGCCAGCAUUGGUCGAUAUGUAUAUAAGAUGUCAGUUGACCGCCUUCCUGUCUGAUUAGAUUCUUUUUGUUUGUUUCUUUUUUGUUUUGGUACUGGGGAUUGAAUGCAGGGGCACUCCACCACUGAGCCACAUCCCCAGCCCUAUUUUGUAUUUUAUUUAGAGAAAGGGUCUCACUGAGUUGUUUAGCACCUUGCUUAUGCUGAGGCUGGCUUUGAACUUGUGAUCCUCCUGCCUCAGUCUCCCAAGCUGCUGGGAUUAUGGGCGUGUGCCACUGCACUAGGCAGAUUCUUUCCUUUUCUUUCUUUUUUUUAAUAUUUAUUUUUUAGUUUUCGGUGGACACAACAUCUUUAUUUUAUUUUUAUGUGGUGCUGAGGAUCGAACCCAGCGCCCCGCGCAUGCCAGGCGAGCACGUUACCGCUUGAGCCACAUCCCCAGCCCUUCUUUCCUUUUCUUAAACCACUAUUUCUAUUCUGUCUUUUUUUUUUGCCUGCCCCAUAAUUGUGACUUUUAUUUUACCAUAUUAUAUAUUUUUAUGAGCCAGCACAAAAUUUUCUGGGCAAGGUAGAAGUAUAAAGAAAAAGAAAUAGAAUAUAGAUGCCUACUGUGAUAUUGGCUAAUAUAUAUUUAGUCUUUGUUUCUCUUUUCCUGUCAUACAAAUCCUAAAGUCCUUGGACUCUCCAAAGUGAUACAUGGCUUUCUAUGCAUGGCUGAUGGCAGCCCCUAGGCAGCAGGUUGGAGCUGUUCUUGGGAAAGAUGGAGGCAGGAUUGGAGGAUUGGGACUUUCAGCCCUACCUCCAAUCCCCGAGAAGAGAGGGAGGGACUAAGUUGUGAAGUUGACUACCACUGACGGAUGAUGUCAUCAAUCAUGUCAUAAACUCCAGAAGGACAGGGUUCAGAAAGCUUCCAGGUAGUGGAAUACAAGAAGGUUCCUGGUGGUGGUGCAACUAGAGAGGGCUUGGGAGGUCCACACCCCUUCCCCCAUACCUGGCUGUAUGCAUCUCUUUCUCCAUGUGUUUUAUAAUAUCUUUUAUGAUAAACCAAGAAAUUUACCUGUUUCCCUGAGUUCUGUGAACCACUCUAGGAAAUUAAUUGAACCCAAGGAGGGGGUGAUGGAAUGCAGAUUUAGAUCCAGUUGGUCAGAAGCACAGGUAAAAACAACUUGGGGCUCACUGUUGGGAUCAGAAGCAUGGUGGAGGGUGGGACAGUCUUGUGGAACUGAGCCCUCAUCUUGUGGGAUCUGACAUGGUCUCCCAGUAGAGGGUAUCAGAAUUAACCUAAAUUAGAGGUCAUCCAGUUGGUAUCCAUUGCUGAGGGACUUUUGUUUGGUGUGUAUGGGAAAACUCCCAUGCAUCUGGGGUCACAGAAGUAUUUUGAGUAGUGAGAAUGUAGGAGAAACUGAGUUUUCCCCUCUAUCUUCUCACUACUUUAUUUCUUCUCAGGGAGAGGAACUGGAAAUUGAGUGAUGAGAAAUCCAGACCAGCCCUCAGAACCCUUUAAAAGAUUGCCACUCCAAUCCUUAAAAGAUUUUCAGUAACAAAAUCUUAAGCCUGUGUGAACACAAACAAGACAACUGUAAGAAACCCAAUACAUUCAUCUCCUAGAUGACACCAUUAUCAACAUUUCACCAUACUUUCUGCAUUUAUUUUGCCCCAUCUCCUUUUUUUUGUUUCAUUUUCCAAAAUAUUUUGAAAACUUUCAACUCAAAAUGGGGUCUGAGGACCAGUAGCAGCAUUGGCGUCACUGAUGAGCUUUUUAGAACAGAAUAUCAGCCCUGCUCCCUGACCUCCUCAGUCAGAAUCUUCAAUUUAAUGAGAUUCUCAAAUGAUUCAUUCACACAUUAAUGGUUCAGGAGCAUUACUUUAGAGCAAAUCACAAAUGAAAUGUAGUAAUGUCAUUUCACCCCUCACUGCAUUUAUGAAGAAGAGCAUGUUUUCUUACACAUAGUGUUCUCAUCAACUAAUAAAAUUAAUGAUAAUUCUUUGGUAUCAUCUAAUAUGCUGGCCACAUAAAAAUUUCCCUGUCUUAAAAUGUCUUUUAACGGUUGAUUUGUCAUAUUAAGAUUCAAACAAGGAAAAAUAAAAGGGGAUCAGAGGCUCUUGGUCAGAUGCUACCUUCCUCUAGUCUUACUCCCAU